GGGGGUGUAGCUCAGCUGGUAGAGCGCCUGCUUUGCAAGCAGGAAGUCAGGGGUUCGAGUCCCCUCUCCUCCACCA
rnacentral:tRNA from 1 species